GCAUAUCAAUAAGCGGAGGAAAAGAAACCAACAGGGAUUGCCCUAGUAACGGCGAGUGAAGCGGCAACAGCUCAAAUUUGAAAUCUGGCCUCCUUUGGGGGUCCGAGUUGUAAUUUGCAGAGGGUGCUUUGGCGUUGGCGGCGGUCUAAGUUCCUUGGAACAGGACAUCGCAGAGGGUGAGAAUCCCGUACGUGGGCGCCUGCCAUCGCCGUGUAAAGCCCCUUCGACGAGUCGAGUUGUUUGGGAAUGCAGCUCUAAAUGGGAGGUAAAUUUCUUCUAAAGCUAAAUACCGGCCAGAGACCGAUAGCGCACAAGUAGAGUGAUCGAAAGAUGAAAAGUACUUUGGAAAGAGAGUAAAAUAGCACGUGAAAUUGUUGUAGAGGAAGCGCUUGCAGCCAGACUUCCCCGUAGUCGCUCACCCGGGCUCCUGCCCGGGGUACUCUUCUGCGGGGAGGCCAGCAUCAGUUUGGGCGGUCGGAUAAAGGCCUCUGUCACGUAUCUCCCUUCGGGGUGACCUUACAGGGGAGGCGUAAUGCGACCAGCCCGGACUGAGGUCCGCGCAUCUGCUAGGAUGCUGGCGUAAUGGCUGUAAGCGGCCCGUCUUGAAACACGGACCAAGGAGUCUAACAUCUAUGCGAGUGUUUGGGUGUCAAGCCCGGGCGCGCAAUGAAAGUGAACGGAGGUGGGAACCUUCGGGUGCACCAUCGACCGAUCCUGAAGUCUUCGGAUGGAUUUGAGUAAGAGCAUAGCUGUUGGGACCCGAAAGAUGGUGAACUAUGCUUGAAUAGGGUGAAGCCAGAGGAAACUCUGGUGGAGGCUCGCAGCGGUUCUGACGUGCAAAUCGAUCGUCAAAUUUGGGCAUAGGGGCGAAAGACUAAUCGAACUAUCUAGUAGCUGGUUCCUG
rnacentral:rRNA from 1 species